UAAUACAUAGGGUGCAAGCGUUGUCCGGAAUUAUUGGGCGUAAAGAGCUCGUAGGUCGUUUGUUACGUCGGAUGUGAAAACCUGAGGCUCAACCUCAGGCCUGCAUUCGAUACGGGCAAACUAGAGUUUGGUAGGGGAGACUGGAAUUCCUGGUGUAGCGGUGGAAUGCGCAGAUAUCAGGAGGAACACCAAUGGCGAAGGCAGGUCUCUGGGCCAAUACUGACACCGAGGAGCGAAAGUCUGGGGAGCGAAACAGGAUUAGAUACCCUGGUAGUCCAGACUGUAAACGGUGGCACUAGUUGUGGGAACCUUCCACGGUUUCUGCGACGCAGCUAACGCAUUAAGUGCCCCGCCUGGGGAGUACGAUCGCAAGAUUAAAACUCAAAGGAAUUGACGGGGCCCGCACAAGCAGCGGAGCAUGCGGCUUAAUUCGACGCAACGCGAAGAACCUUACCAAGGCUUGACAUAUAGGGAAAAGUGGCAGAGAUGUCAUGUCCGCAAGGGCUC
rnacentral:rRNA from 1 species